UACAGAGGGUGCAAGCGUUGCUCGGAAUUACUGGGCGUAAAGCGUGUGUAGGCGGUCUUUUAAGUGGGGUGUGAAAGCCCUAGGCUCAACCUAGGAACUGCGCCCCAUACUGGAAGACUUGAGUGUCGGAGAGGAUAGUGGAAUUCCCAGUGUAGAGGUGAAAUUCGUAGAUAUUGGGAGGAACACCAGUGGCGAAGGCGGCUAUCUGGACGAACACUGACGCUGAGACACGAAAGCGUGGGGAGCAAACAGG
rnacentral:rRNA from 1 species